rnacentral:piRNA from 1 species
UUUAACUGGUACCAUAGUCUGC